rnacentral:misc_RNA from 1 species
GAGCAAAAUUGGAAAAAAAUUAAUUGUGUCGAGGCUGGUCGGAUAGAGCCCGGAACGAUCGCCAUCCAUGGACAAAAGGAUAAUAUAUAAAUGGAUCACAAAAGCCACAAUGGCUAGAGACACUACGGGACGCAAUCUUUUCCCUCCACCAGCACACAACUCAAUCCUGUAACACAACCAAACUCUGAAACUGACUUCGCCCUUCUCAUCCUCUCUCACUCUCUCUUCCAAGCGCCAAUUCAAAGAUUUCAAUAUCUAAGUUCCUCAAACAAUGUUACUCCUGCCUCCGCCUUCUUUACACCCCUUUCCCGCCAAUCUCAGUUCCAAUUUUUCGCCGAUAAAUCCUAUACAAUCACCGUUCAGGUCCUUUCCCCAGCCACCUCGGGCCGUUAACCGUCGUCGCAACGACGAUGUCGAUGCGUUUACAAAGAAGUCUGGUUACAUAUUCGAGCUCGGUACCAGCGAAGCUGACUCUUUAAUCGAUUACGAUAUUAAAAGAAUUGCUGCGAUUUGUAGGAGGAAACCGUUGAUUUUGUUUCGAAGAUUGUUUCAGAUUGGUACUACUUUUGGGGGGUGGUUUGGGGCUCGUUACAUUGAUGGCCUUGCUGAGAAAUCUGAUCAAAUGUUCAAGAUUAGAGCUGCAGAUCUUCGGAAAAUAUUGCUGGAACUUGGUCCUGCCUAUGUCAAAAUUGCACAGGCUGUUUCAUCUCGAGCUGAUUUGAUACCACCAUCAUACCUUGAUGAACUUUCACUAUUGCAAGAUCGAAUAGCUCCAUUUUCCUCAGAAAUUGCUUUCAAUACAAUAGAACAGGAACUUGGAUUGCCAGUAGACGAGCUUUUCUCGGAGAUUUCACCAGAGCCUACUGCUGCAGCAUCCCUUGGGCAGGUCUAUCAAGCAAGGCUUCGUCAUAAUGGACAGCUUGUUGCUAUUAAAGUGCAGAGACCAGGAGUCCAGGCUGCUAUUGCCCUAGACAUACUAAUCUUGCGUUCUAUUGCAGGAGUGGUGAAGAGAGCAGGCAAAUUUAACUCUGAUCUCCAGGCAGUUGUUGAUGAAUGGGCAUCAAGUCUUUUUCGGGUAAAUCACAUUGAAUGCAGGAGAUGGACUAUGUGAAAGAAGCAAAUAAUGGACUUAAGUUUAGGAAGCUUUAUGGUGGCAUACAAGAUGUUUUGGUUCCAGAAAUGUAUAUGGAACUCACAACUCAAAAAGUCCUUGUAAUGGAAUGGGUCGAGGGGCAAAAGUUGUCUGAAGUGAAGGAUAUUUACUUGGUUGAGGUAGGAGUUUACUGUUCAUUCAAUCAACUUUUGGAAUAUGGAUUCUAUCAUGCUGAUCCACACCCUGGAAACCUUCUUCGUACAUCUGAUGGGAAACUAGCUUAUUUAGAUUUUGGAAUGAUGGGUGAAUUUAGACAAGAACUCCGUGAUGCAUUUAUUGAAGCUUGUCUCCAUCUUGUAAAUCGUGAUUUUGAUUCACUGGCUAAGGACUUCGUUACUCUUGGGUUUCUUCCACCAACUGCAGACAAGGAGGCUGUUACAAAAGCUUUAACAGGUGUCUUCCAAAAUGCUGUUGCAAAAGGAGUCCGCAAUAUAAGUUUUGGAGACCUUUUGGGAAACUUGGGAACUACAAUGUACAAGUUCAAAUUUCAAAUACCUUCCUAUUUUUCUCUUGUCAUCCGGAGUCUUGCAGUGUUGGAGGGCAUUGCUAUCAGUUUUGACCCAAAUUACAAAGUUUUAGGUAGUACAUAUCCAUGGAUUGCUAGAAAAGUACUAACUGACAGCUCACCAAAGUUGAAGUCGUCUUUGCAAGCCCUGCUUUACAAGGAUGGUGUUUUCAGAAUUGAUCGUCUAGAAUCUCUACUUUCGGAAUUAUAUUGAAUUAAUGUUUUGCAUAAUCCCCAAUUCCAUGGCAGUCCCUUCGUGCUCGUACUGAUAGGGCCUUGGUUAAAAGCCGAGUAGGACAAACUAGUUCCAAUGUGGCUAUCAAGCAAAUCCUUUCCUUCACAUUAACUGAGAAGGGUGCCUUUGUGAGGGAAAUACUUCUUCAAGAAGUUGCAAAGGUAAGGGUUUUUUUUUUUCCUUAUGUAUCACAUCUAUGCUUAUUGAUCACUCUCAAUACUGAAUGAUCAAGAGACAAGACUUGAGGUGAUUUUCUUCGCUAAUUAGUGAUAUUGAUUUGCAUGUGCUGCUAGUUGUUUUGUUGACUUCUUCCAGGACAAUUUAUUCUUCUGAGAUCUUUCUUUACUUGCUACUGGAGCUACGUCACUGAUGAGACAAUUAUCAGCACCAACUUAUUAGACUACAGCGACAUUUAUUAGGGGAUUGUUUGUCAAAUAUCUUAUAGGCUUGGAUUUGUUUGAAAUUGAAUUAAUUAUUGGUAGAAAAAAAUGCCCAAAUUACUUUAAAUAUAAGGGUAAAUUAUUAUUUAGUCCUUGCGGCAUGUCAAAAUUCAUUAACUGGUACUUUAUUUUAAAACCAAAUUAAAAGUCAUUAUAUUUUAGUUCUAUUAACAAAUUAGCCUUUCUGUUAAUCUUUUUUGGAAUUUCAGAGUCAAUCAAAACCCUAAAUUAAUAUUAUUAUUCCAAAACUAUCAUUUGCUGAGAAAAAAAGGCUUUCAUUUUCCUUAUGAUUUGGUUUCUUGGUCUUUUUGACAUAAAAGGAACAAUGAAGAUUUUAUGACAAACCUUGAGUUUCAGUUUGCAAGUGCAAGGAACAAGGAAUUGUGUGGUGGGUUUAUGUCUCUUGUGGUGAAAAAAGUCAAGGGGAGAUUGAAGGGGCUAUCAAUGAUGUCAUGGGUUAACUUGUAAUGAUUUGUAUGUUUAGUAUCUGUGUUUGUCCCAGUCAAUAACUAGUGAAUCUCCUGUCUUUAAAGAUUCUUGAAGAAUUAUAGCUGCGCAUAGGAAUUUGGUUAUAUUUUUUUUUUGAGGACUUACAAAACAUUUUCCCUUAUUUUCUUAUAAAAUGUGUGAAGAAUAAAAUGUUUAUACUAUAUUCUGUUUGCCUGUAGAUUUUGAGAAAUUGCCCGGUUAAUCACUAUUUUUUUCCUUUUCCUCCAUUAGAGUGCAUCAGUCUUUUACAUGAGAGCUGUGCUAGUUCAUAUACUACAAUCAAUUGUUUGUGGGUGUCUGUGAUGUGCAUCAAACUACCUUUGGAAAUGCUUGUAGGGUUUGGAUGCGCUUGGGCUAGCAACACUUGAUUCUUUAACUUCUGUGGCUAUUACAAGCAUACCCUUUGUCGCUUCCUCUCCGUCCUCUUCAUUGACUGAGGAAGACAUAAUGAACUUGAGAAUGUUGCGUCGCCUUAUGCUACUGUUGUCUGGUCUCCAAAAGAAUGGUAGUUCCACUGUGGAGGUGACUGGGAAUAUUGCACACAAGAAUCAAAAUACAUACUUGGAAGAAUUAUUGCCUGUUUUCUAUCAAAUUUCAUCGGUUCAAGAGAUUCUGCCUGUCCUUUCUGUUAUUCCUGAGGUAACCUCAUUAAUAAUUAUAACAUGUGUUCAUCUAUAAAUACAAUAGCAUGCACACAAAACCACUUAUCAACAUAAAUACUUGUGUGACUUGAAUGGCUCUUUAACAUGUGGAACCUAGUAGGAAAUUGUCACAAUAGAUAGUUCCAUAUUAGGGAAUGGAAACCUGCUAAUGGAAAUCAAAGCCAAAAUGGACAAUUGCACAUGCAUAGGCAUCUAUCUUGGAAAUUGCUUUGUACUGAGGACACUAAGAGGAUAUGAUUAUAAUUUUGUUGCAUAUCUAGUUAGAAGACCUGCUUAGCUAAUCCUUGGAACCAAUUACAACAAAGAAGCCCUUUUGGGCCAAACCGAUUCCACAUCAAGUCACUUCCAGUUGUCACUCGCUUUACAUGGACAUUUGCCUUGCAUAGGCCUAAGUCUUGAUUUUCUGUCUCGGAUUAAUAUGCAGCCAUUAAGCCUCAUAUUUUUAUCACCUUCUCUGCAUUGUUUUAUCGUCUGGGCCAUUGGGGUGUGGCUUUUUGAUCUGGGGCUCUCCAUCUCCAAAUGGGCUUCAUCACCAAUUGGGCCAGCUUCUUUAUCAAAGACUUUUGCUAUGCCUCAUUUUUAUGCCCUUUCUUUUUGAAUUCCUAAUCCAAUGUGGGACUUCCACAUCAAGCCACUUUCCAACAAAUUUUAGUUCUACAAGCAGUGAGGAUAGCUUUAGAAAGCCAUGGCUUCUUUUAACCCAAAUGGUCGUUUUGCUGACUAAACCUUACCAAUAUAUGACAGCUCCCACCAGAGCUGCAACAGCAGUUGCUUCUUUUGCCGGCAGAUCUGGCUGGACGGUUGAUUUCCCGUGCUGCUGCUAGAACCAUCAGGAGAAUGUUUCUUUGAUGACAAUUUGGUUUCAGGGCAAGCGUGAUACAAGAUAAUUCUGUACUUUUCGUUGACAGAAAAUUAACUCACAGCUUGUAUUUAAUUAUUUGCCCUAGAAUGGGAAGGAGAAGGGCACAAAUUACCUGAAAAUGGAUGGAAGUUUUGCACUUUCUCUUUUUAUUUUUUAUUACCUUUUUAACUUCAUAUUUUUCUUAAAUCUUUGGGUUGGAGAGUUAUAGCUGUUUACAUGGUGUUAAUUGCCAUGUCAGGAAAUGUAAGCCAUUGUAAAUUUGUGUAUAAUUUGUUUCUGUACAAGAAGAAUUUUAUGGAAUCCUGUAGGAGACGGGCCUGUGAAGCAUUUUUGACAACUUGUAUUAAUAGUAGCCAAUAGCUA